rnacentral:piRNA from 1 species
GUAGACCAGAGAUCCACCUGCCUUGGCCUC